rnacentral:tRNA from 1 species
UCCCUUGUAGCUCAGUCGGUAAAGAAUCUGCCUGCAGUGCAGAAGACCUGGGUUCAAUCCCUGGGUGGGGAA